UUGGCAUUGAAGCAGUGUGGCUACACACCAUAUUGCCAAAUUCUUCACUUCUGUAGCUGCCUUGCAAUUU
rnacentral:lncRNA from 1 species